rnacentral:lncRNA from 1 species
AUCCUUGAGGUUGGCCUCCGUCACGGGGAUGACGUUCUCUUGAUCGAGGUCAGAGAUCGACAUGUUGAUCUUGAUCUUGAAUCGGUCCCACCAGGCGUGCCAAAAGAUGUGUUGAUGCAAAACUGAUCUGCAAACACAAAGGGCUAAUACCCGAUUCAAACGUUAAGGCGUGCCAGCCGAUUUGACCUUACUAUCGGCAAAGGUGAUAACUCGGAUACUUUAGUCCUGACAACAGCGAUGCGCCCGGAUGUCACGGCUAAGAGGUAUUCACGC